CACGCCGUAAACGAUGAGUGCUACGUAUCGGUCGAAUCGGUGCUCAAGCUAACGCAGUAAGCACUCCGCCUGGGGAGUACGGUCGCAAGACUGAAACUCAAAGGAAUUGACGGGGACUCGCACAAGCGGUGGAGCAUGCGGUUUAAUUCGAUGCAACGCGAAGAACCUUACCAGGUCUUGACAGUAUAAAGAAUACUUAAGAGAUUAAGGGCUAAGAAUUAAGCUUGCUUAUUUCGCUUUAUAAACAGGUGG
rnacentral:rRNA from 1 species